rnacentral:rRNA from 1 species
UACGUAGGGUGCGAGCGUUGUCCGGAAUUAUUGGGCGUAAAGAGCUUGUAGGCGGUUUGUCGCGUCUGCUGUGAAAUCUCAAGGCUCAACCUUGAGCUUGCAGUGGGUACGGGCAGACUAGAGUGUGGGAUGGGUAAGUGGAAUUCCUGGUGUAGCGGUGAAAUGCGUAGAUAUCAGGAGGAACACCGGUGGUGUAGACGGCUUACUGGACCAUAACUGACGCUGAGACACGAAAGCGUGGGUAGCAAACAGG